CAGCCGCCGCGGUAAUACGAAGGGGGCUAGCGUUGUUCGGAAUUACUGGGCGUAAAGCGCACGUAGGCGGAUUUUUAAGUCAGGGGUGAAAUCCCGAGGCUCAACCUCGGAACUGCCUUUGAUACUGGAGAUCUUGAGUUCGGAAGAGGUUGGUGGAACAGCUAGUGUAGAGGUGAAAUUCGUAGAUAUUAGCUAGAACACCAGUGGCGAAGGCGGCCAACUGGUCCGAUACUGACGCUGAGGUGCGAAAGCGUGGGGAGCAAACAGGAUUAGAUACCCGGGUAGUCCCUGUCUCUUAUAC
rnacentral:rRNA from 1 species